AGAGUUUGAUCAUGGCUCAGAAUCAACGCUGGCGGCGCGCCUAACACAUGCAAGUCGAACGAGAAAGUGGAGCAAUCCAUGAGUAAAGUGGCGUACGGGUGAGUAACACGUGGGUGAUCUACCUCUUAGUGAGGAAUAACCCUGGGAAACCGGGGCUAAUACCGCAUAAGCCUUAGCAGGGAAAGUCGAAAGACGCUGAGAGAGGAGCCCGCGGCCGAUUAGCUAGUUGGUGAGGUAAGAGCCCACCAAGGCAGAGAUCGGUAGCCGGCCUGAGAGGGCACACGGCCACACUGGCACUGAAACACGGGCCAGACUCCUACGGGAGGCAGCAGUGGGGAAUCUUGCACAAUGGGGGAAACCCUGAUGCAGCGACGCCGCGUGAGCGAUGAAGCCCUUCGGGGUGUAAAGCUCUUUCGGCAGGGAAGAUAGUGACGGUACCUGCAGAAGCAGCUGCGGCUAACUACGUGCCAGCAGCCGCGGUAAUACGUAGGCAGCAAGCGUUGUUCGGAGUUACUGGGCGUAAAGGGUGUGUAGGCGGUUCUUUAAGUUUGGUGUGAAAUCUCCCGGCUCAACCGGGAGGGUGCGCCGAAUACUGAGGGACUAGAGUGUGGGAGAGGAAAGUGGAAUUCCUGGUGUAGCGGUGAAAUGCGUAGAUAUCAGGAGGAACACCGGUGGUGUAGACGGCUUUCUGGACCAUAACUGACGCUGAGACACGAAAGCGUGGGUAGCAAACAGGAUUAGAUACCCUCGUAGUCC
rnacentral:rRNA from 1 species